rnacentral:rRNA from 1 species
AACGAACGCUGGCGGCAUGCCUAACACAUGCAAGUCGAACGAGACCUUCGGGUCUAGUGGCGCACGGGUGCGUAACGCGUGGGAACCUGCCUUUAGGUUCGGAAUAACUCAGAGAAAUUUGAGCUAAUACCGGAUGAUGUCUUCGGACCAAAGAUUUAUCGCCUUUAGAUGGGCCCGCGUUGGAUUAGCUAGUUGGUGGGGUAAAGGCCUACCAAGGCGACGAUCCAUAGCUGGUCUGAGAGGAUGAUCAGCCACACUGGGACUGAGACACGGCCCAGACUCCUACGGGAGGCAGCAGUGGGGAAUAUUGGACAAUGGGCGAAAGCCUGAUCCAGCAAUGCCGCGUGAGUGGUGAAGGCCUUAGGGUUGUAAAGCUCUUUUACCCGAGAUGAUAAUGACAGUAUCGGGAGAAUAAGCUCCGGCUAACUCCGUG